rnacentral:rRNA from 1 species
GGAAUCUUGGACAAUGGGCGCAAGCCUGAUCCAGCCAUGCCGCGUGGAUGAUGAAGGCCCUAGGGUUGUCAAAUCCUUUCGUCAGGGACGAUAAUGCCGGUACAUGAAGAAGAAGCCCCGGCCAACUCCGUGCCAACAGCCGCGGUAAUACGAAGGGGGCUAGCGUUGUUCGGAUUUACUGGGCGUAAAGCGCGUGUAGGCGGGCUGGAAAGGUGGGGGUGAAAUCCCGAGGCUCAACCUCGGAACUGCCUCCAAAACUUCCAGCCUGGACUCAAGCAGAGGCAAGUGGAAUUGCGAGUGUAGAGGUGAAAUUCGUAGAUAUUCGCAGGAACACCAGUGGCGAAGGCGACUUGCUGGGCUUGUAGUGACGCUGAGACGCGAAAGCGUGGGGAGCAAAC